rnacentral:rRNA from 1 species
ACGAACGCUGGCGGCGUGCUUAACACAUGCACGUCGAACGGAAAGGCCCUGCUUUUGUGGGGUGCUCGAGUGGCGAACGGGUGAGUAACACGUGAGUAACCUGCCCUUGACUUUGGGAUAACUUCAGGAAACUGGGGCUAAUACCGGAUAGGAGCUCCUGCUGCAUGGUGGGGGUUGGAAAGUUUCGGCGGUUGGGGAUGGACUCGCGGCUUAUCAGCUUGUUGGUGGGGUAGUGGCUUACCAAGGCUUUGACGGGUAGCCGGCCUGAGAGGGUGACCGGCCACAUUGGGACUGAGAUACGGCCCAGACUCCUACGGGAGGCAGCAGUGGGGAAUAUUGCACAAUGGGCGGAAGCCUGAUGCAGCAACGCCGCGUGCGGGAUGACGGCCUUCGGGUCGUAAACCGCUUUCGCCUGUGACGAAGCGUGAGUGACGGUAAUGGGUAAAGAAGCACCGGCUAACUACGUG